AUUGCCUCAGUAACGGCGAGUGAAGCGGCAACAGCUCAAAUUUGAAAUCUGGCCGUUUACGGUCCGAGUUGUAAUUUGUAGAGGAUGUUUUGGGUACCGCCCCGGUUUAAAUUUCUUGGAACAGAAUGUCAAACAGGGUGAGAGUCCCGUCUUGGACCGCGGUAGGGCCUGUGUAAAACUCCUUCGACGAGUCGACUUGUUUGGGAAUGCAGGUCAAAAUGGGUGGUAAAUUUCAUCUAAAGCUAAAUAUUGGCCAGAGACCGAUAGCGCACAAGUAUAGUGAUCGAAAGAUGAAAAGCACUUUGAAAAGAGAGUUAAACAGUAUGUGAAAUUGUUGAAAGGGAAGCGCUGGCAACCAGACUCGUGCGCGGGGUUCCCCCUUGCUUCUGCUUGGGUCACUUCCCCGUGUCCGGGCCAUCAUCAGUUUCGGGGGCCGGUUAAAGGCCUUGGGAAUGUAUCCACGCCUUCGGGGGUGGACUUAUAGCCCAGGGUGUCAUGCGGCCACCCGGGACUGAGGAACGCGCUUCGGCGAGGAUGAUGGCGUAAUGGUUGUCAGCGGCCCGUCUUGAAACACGGACC
rnacentral:rRNA from 1 species